GAAAACCACAAAUUCAAAUCAGUGAAGGGAGGGUCACAGAAAAAGGAGAAAGAAACAUUUUUAAAAUCCCCAUGAUAUUAUGUAUUGGGCCUCUUUUUCCACACAAAAGCACCGCCUUUGCUCAUCUGCAGCCUCCCGAGGACUGUGUGGAAGGUGAUAAUGAGAACGGGCUUCAGCAACCAUCCUCCCCGGCAGCAUCGGGGCGCCCCACGUGACCCAUGGGAUGAUGCUAUCACAGGUGACCGCUGGACUCUGCUGGGCUGCGGGGCACUGGGAAUCCAUGGGCCGUCGAUGCGGAGCACAUAAGCCACCGAGUCAAAGCUGGUUCCAGGCCUGCUGCUGGCGUUUUGUUUCUGUUUGGUUUUAACCAGACCCUUUCGAUGAACUCAUUUUGUUGCCGUGGGUCCCCUUUCCCUAAGCCCAAAGCAUAAGAAUUCCAUCUGAGGGCUCGAGUGAACUGGACUCCGCUUGAGAAGGGGCUCUCGGUGGAGCGAGAUGUCUGGCUCCCAUCUAGUGCCUGACCAUAUUUUGACUAUGGGAUGACUUUAGCAUUCACUUGGCAAGGGCACUUCCAUUUGGCUCCUCGUGAAGUCACAGAAAUUCUAGUUAUUUCUGUAGUUGUGCUAUUGCCUGGUUUAUUUAUAAGAACCAUCCAUCGGGGCUGAGCUGUUCUGUGUCUGG
rnacentral:lncRNA from 1 species